AUUGAACGCUGGCGGCAGGCCUAACACAUGCAAGUCGAGCGGAUGAAGGGAGCUUUCUCCUGGAUUCAGCGGCGGACGGGUGAGUAAUGCCUAGGAAUCUGCCUGGUUGUGGGGGAUAACGUCCGGAAACGGGCGCUAAUACCGCAUACGUCCUGAGGGUGAAACUUGGGGUUCUUCGGACCUCACGCUUUCUGAUGUGCCUAGGUCGGAUUUGCGAGUUGGUGUGGUAAAUGCCUACCAAGGCUACUAUCCGUAACUGGUCUGAGAGGAUGAUCAGUCACACUGGAACUGAGACACGGUCCAGACUCCUACGGGAGGCAGCAGUGGGGAAUAUUGGACAAUGGGCGAAAGCCUGAUGCAGCAAUGCCGAGUGUGUGAAGAAGGUCUUCGGAUUGUAAAGAACUUUAAGUGGGGAGGAAGGGCAGUAAGUUAAUACAUUGCUGUUUUGACGUUACCAACAGAAUAAGCACCGGCUAACUUCGUG
rnacentral:rRNA from 1 species